AUUAGGGUUCGAUUCCGGAGAGGGAGCCUGAGAAACGGCUACCACAUCCAAGGAAGGCAGCAGGCGCGCAAAUUACCCAAUCCCGACACGGGGAGGUAGUGACAAUAAAUACUGAUUACAGGGCCCUUUCGGGUCUUGUAAUUGGAAUGAGUACAAUUUAAAUCCAUUAACGAGGAACAAUUGGAGGGCAAGUCUGGUGCCAGCAGCCGCGGUAAUUCCAGCUCCAAUAGCGUAUAUUAAAGUUGUUGCAGUUAAAAAGCUCGUAGUUGAACCUUGGGGUCUGGGUGACUGGUCUCCCUUACUGGGUGCACUGAGAACCCGGACCUUUCCUUCUGGCAAACUCAUGCCCUUUACUGGGUGUGCUGGGGAACCAGGACUUUUACUUUGAAAAAAAUUAGAGUGUCAAA
rnacentral:rRNA from 1 species